UUAAAGGUCUAAGUCUUUGAUUUUGAGUGGGGAUUGGUCAGUUAGAAAUGUGAAGGCAUUCAAUUAGGUGGAUGUGGAGCUGUUAACUCACCAAACCCCUCAUUAUAAAACCAGGUGUCACCUCUUAAAACUAGUAGGAAACGGGUUUAAAACAGGUAGAGGUACAUAUUCUUUCACACAGCAGGCGGUCAAGUUCUGACAUUUGUUGCCACAAAUUUUGGAGGCAGAUAGCAGAUGCUAAAAGGAAUUGGAAGUGCCUGGAAAACCAGGCAGGAAUUGCUUAACCGGUGACUGUGGACACAGGAGCAGUAGUAGGGGGAUCGUGGCCAACAGUGCAAGCUCUCCCAGUUAUCAUUUCCUGCAGCCGCUGGUGGGGUCAGAAUACUGGUCCAGCACGCAUCGUGUACAGGAGCCAGCUGGUCUGCAGAUUACGGAUCAGUAGAUCAGAUCCUAAUACUUCUGGCGUGCGGGGUCACAGAGUGGCAGAAAGACUGCAACAGCAUGUAGUAAGUCCAUGAGAAUCCCAGGCAACAUCUGGAGAGCGUGACACGUGGUCGAAUGAUUAAGUCAUCUGCUCCACAGCACUCCUGGCUGUUUAAGGACUUCUGUCAGAGGAAAGCAUUGAGAACAUCAGGAUGAAGGACAGCAAUAAUGAAAAAUAUAAAUUAUUCCCUCUGAUUCCUUCUGUUCCUCUUCUGGCUCCCACUACAGGACUUGCUGAGAGUAGGAUUAUGGGAGGCCAUGAACAAGCUUAAAAUCUGUGCACUACUUAACCACCUCCUAUUUUGUAUGUGGGAAGGAAGUGGCCUAAAUCUGACCCAUCUAAUAUAUAUAAUAUAUUCCACAGCAUGUAAUGUUUUGACAGCUUAAGUAGAUAUACGAGCGCUGAAUUGGUAACUCGUUCAAAUCAAAAUUGGUAUGCCUCCUAUCUCAGUAUUGCAAGUUCUGGUUUUAUUCAGAUAAUUGUGUUUAUUUUUUCUUUUCCAACAAGAUAAUUGUGCGUAUUA